rnacentral:lncRNA from 1 species
GAAGAAAGAGACUGGGAGAGAUGAACAAUGCCUCUCUUCAGUUUUCUGAUGUGAUUCCUUCCUUUACUCUGAAGAUCCUGCUGUUGGGUAAACUCUCACCAUCACCCUGCUGCAACUCCUCCCUGCCACCUACUUGGAUUACCACCCUCAUCUCAAAGCCAGCCCUGGGACACCAGCCUCCUGUUGCUGCAACUGCAGGCCCAGAUGAUUCUUCUGGGAAGAGACCCUUUCAUGGGUUCUUUUCUAGUUCAACUCCAAGGGUGGAGUCCAGCAAUUCUUCCACUUGCAGAUGAGUAACGAAAGAUUGAUAGCUAAAUUCGAAUGCAUUCCUUUCUGACAGACUGCAUUUGCAGAAUGUUUAGAGGCAAUCCCGAAGCUUCAGAGGAUGUUUAUUGCACGAGUCAAUAGGGCAACACCUCCAAGCUGGUACAUACAAACGAAAGAGGAAACAGCAGUUGAGGAAAUCCUGUUCCAGGUUUUCGGGCGGCC